GUUAAUUGUUUGUGUUUAGUAUAAAAUUUAUAUUAAGAUCCAUUUUGUUACAUCUUGUGAUAAAUUUUAUUUGGCAAUCGCCAAUGGCAGUCAGCAGGGUUAAAGAACAUCAGUUGUUCGACCUGUUAGUCAAAUGCGUUUUGUUUAAAUAUACUUCUUCACUUUUUUGGUCUUUUGGAAAAUGUUGUUUGUGCUGUAUUUAGACCCUUCUACAACGAAAUUUGUUUUACAUGCAC
rnacentral:lncRNA from 1 species